rnacentral:rRNA from 1 species
UGGGGAAUUUUGGACAAUGGGCGCAAGCCUGAUCCAGCAAUGCCGCGUGAGUGAAGAAGGCCUUCGGGUUGUAAAGCUCUUUUAGUUGAAAAGAAAAAAUCGUGACUAAUAAUCACGAUUCAUGACGGUAUCAACAGAAAAAGCACCGGCUAACUACGUGCCAGCAGCCGCGGUAAUACGUAGGGUGCAAGCGUUAAUCGGAAUUACUGGGCGUAAAGGGUGCGUAGGCGGUUUUGUAAGUCAGAUGUGAAUCCCGGGCUUAACCUGGGAAUUGCGUUUGAAACUGCAAGACUAGAGUGCGGCAGAGGGAGGUGGAAUUCCGAUGUGUAGCAGUGAAAUGCGUAGAGAUAUGGAAGAACAUCGAUGGCGAAGGCAACCUCCUGGGCUAGCACUGACGCUCAU